rnacentral:rRNA from 1 species
GAGGGGUCCUAGCGUUGUUCGGAAUCAUUGGGCGUAAAGGGUGUGUAGGUGGCUAUGUAAGUCAGGUGUGAAAGCCCCGGGCUCAACCCGGGAAGUGCAUCUGAUACUGCGUAGCUUGAGUACCGAAGAGGAUAGUGGAAUUCCAGGUGUAGUGGUGAAAUACGUAGAUAUCUGGAGGAACACCGGUGGCGAAGGCGGCUAUCUGGUCGAGUACUGACACUGAGACACGAAAGCAUGGGGAUCAAACAGGAUUAGAUACCCUGGUAGUCCAUGCCGUAAACGAUGGGUACUUGGUGUUGGAGGUAUUGACCCCUUCAGUGCCGAAGCUAACGCGUUAAGUACCCCGCCUGGGGAGUACGGUCGCAAGAUUA